rnacentral:rRNA from 1 species
UCUACAGGCUUAACACAUGCAAGUCGAGGGGCAGCAUGGUCUUAGCUUGCUAAGGCCGAUGGCGACCGGCGCACGGGUGAGUAACGCGUAUCCAACCUGCCUUACACUCUUGGACAGCCUUCUGAAAGGGAGAUUAAUACAAGAUGUUAUCAUGAGUAAGCAUUUUCGCAUGAUUAAAGGUUUACCGGUGUAAGAUGGGGAUGCGUUCCAUUAGAUAGUAGGCGGGGUAACGGCCCACCUAGUCUUCGAUGGAUAGGGGUUCUGAGAGGAAGGUCCCCCACAUUGGAACUGAGACACGGUCCAAACUCCUACGGGAGGCAGCAGUGAGGAAUAUUGGUCAAUGGACGAGAGUCUGAACCAGCCAAGUAGCGUGAAGGAUGAAGGUUCUAUGGAUUGUAAACUUCUUUUAUACGGGAAUAAACGAAUCCACGCGUGGAUUUUUGCAUGUACCGUAUGAAUAAGGAUCGGCUAACUCCGUGCCAGCAGCCGCGGUAAUACGGAGGAUCCGAGCGUUAUCCGGAUUUAUUGGGUUUAAAGGGAGCGUAGAUGGGUUGUUAAGUCAGUUGUGAAAGUUCGCGGCUCAACCGUAAAAUUGCAAUUGAUACUGGCAGUCUUGAGUACAGUUGAGGUAGGCGGAAUUCGUGGUGUAGCGGUGAAAUGCUUAGAUAUCACGAAGAACUCCGAUUGCGAAGGCAGCUUACUAACCUGUAACUGACAUUGAUGCUCAAAAGUGUGGGUAUCAAACAGGAUUAGAUACCCUGGUAGUCCACACGGUAAACGAUGAAUACUCGCUGUAGGCGAUAUACAGUCUGCGGCCAAGCGAAAGCAUUAAGUAUUCCACCUGGGGAGUACGCCGGCAACGGUGAAACUCAAAGGAAUUGACGGGGGCCCGCACAAGCGGAGGAACAUGUGGUUUAAUUCGAUGAUACGCGAGGAACCUUACCCGGGCUUAAAUUGCAACCGAAUAUGGCGGAAACGCUAUAGCUAGCAAUAGCGGUUGUGAAGGUGCUGCAUGGUUGUCGUCAGCUCGUGCCGUGAGGUGUCGGCUUAAGUGCCAUAACGAGCGCAACCCUUGCCGAUAGUUACUAACAGGUCAUGCUGAGGACUCUGUCGGGACUGCCAUCGUAAGAUGUGAGGAAGGUGGGGAUGACGUCAAAUCAGCACGGCCCUUACGUCCGGGGCUACACACGUGUUACAAUGGGGGGUACAGAGGGCUGCUACCACGCAAGUGGAUGCCAAUCCCAAAAACCUCUCUCAGUUCGGAUUGAAGUCUGCAACCCGACUUCAUGAAGCUGGAUUCGCUAGUAAUCGCGCAUCAGCCACGGCGCGGUGAAUACGUUCCCGGGCCUUGUACACACCGCCCGUCAAGCCAUGGGAGCCGGGGGUACCUGAAGUGCGUAACCGCAAGGAGCGCCCUAGGGUAAAACUGGUGACUGG